rnacentral:rRNA from 1 species
UACGUAGGGUGCGAGCGUUGUCCGGAAUUAUUGGGCGUAAAGAGCUCGUAGGCGGUCUGUCGCGUCGAUCGUGAAAACUUGGGGCUUAACCUUGAGCUUGCGGUCGAUACGGGCAUGACUGGAGUUCGGCAGGGGAGACUGGAAUUCCUGGUGUAGCGGUGAAAUGCGCAGAUAUCAGGAGGAACACCGGUGGCGAAGGCGGGUCUCUGGGCCGAUACUGACGCUGAGGAGCGAAAGCGUGGGGAGCGAACAGG